GCGUCAUCACGCACUCGUUACGUCACGACGCAGGAGGCGUAGCCGCUGUACGUUAUUUUUCUAAUGACCGGGAGGCGGAAGAGCUUCGUGUCUCCGUCCCCGGGUUUCGGAGUGAGUUCGGGCCGGUGAGAGGAGUUUCCUGUCCGGGUGAACUCUGUCCCCCGGAGUGGCGCGGAGGGCCAUGGCGGCUCUGCCGGCGCAGGCUGAUGAAGACUGGGAGGACUUUAACGAGUUUACAGCGGCCCCGGACUUCACCCCGGAGCUCUCCACGGAGCCGGGAGUCUGUGAGCCCGAGAGAGAGCCGCGGCCUGAGCGGGAGCUCUCAGCUCUCUGCCCCGGUGUGGAGAGCAGCGUGUCCGUGGAGAGCAGCGGCUGGAGGUCUGCUCACGAUCUGGUGCAGGACUUCGAGCAGAAACUCAGCUUGUGUUUCACUGAUGACUUCACCAAGAACCCUGAGAAGAUCUCCGAUAUCAAACCCAUCACCGAGGAGAACUUACUGCGAGAGGACGAGAUAUGGAACGCUCUGACGGAUAACUAUGGGAAUGUGAUGCCAGUGGACUGGAAGACGUCUUACACGCGUUCUCUCCAUCUCCCAUCUCUCAACCUCAUCCAACAACCGGAGGUGGACAGUGUGGAUCUGGACCUGUCUGAUGAUGAGGAGCUCCGUGAGCAGAUGGACCUUCACACCAUCAUUGUCUCCUGUGUUAAUGAAGAACCACUGUUCACUGCAGAACAGGUGAUCUCGGAGAUUGAGGAGAUGAUGCAGGAGUCUCCAGAUGCAGACCCAGAGCAGUGUGUGUCCUCACCUGACCUGUCCAUCCUGUCCCAUGGGCUACACACACUCACACACUCAUCAUCCACUAGCAGCUUCGAAGAGCGUCAGUGCCCCCUCUGUCUGCAUGGGAUGAGUGUGUGUGAGCUGGAGGUUCUCCUGGAUGAGGUGGAGAAGAAGAUCCGGAUAUUUUCGGAGGAGCUGAUCGAACAGCUGGCUCUACGUGAUGAGCUGGACUUUGAGAAGGAGGUGAAGAACACGUUCAUCUCGCUGAUCAUCGACGUCCAGAACAGACAGAAGGAAGUGAUGAAGAGGAGGAGGAAAGGCAUGAGCACCACCACCACCAAGCCCAGGGGAGAGCGCACACACACCCCGGGACUUAUUUAACUACAGUUAUCCCCUAUGAGAAGAGAAGUGGUGCACCAUCAGUAGAAGACCUUCAGAUCCUCACAAAGAUUUUACAUGCCAUGAGGGAUGACAGUGAUAAAGUUCCCAGCUUGCUGACUGAUUACAUCCUGAAAGUCUUGUGUCCCACAUAACCCAGAUGUUUGAAUGUCUGCAGAAAGAUCCAGAUGAAUCCUGGGAUUUUGCUCUUCCUCCAGAAGCCAGAGAUUUUUUUAUCCUGAUAGUUUUUUGUGUAUUUCACUGUUUUAACGUGUUAGUAAAGAUAUUUUUAUAUUCUCCGAGACGUGCUCAUGGGCGGAGCUUCCUCAAAGACACCAGCCAAUCAGGGACAGAGUUCAGGGGGUGACAUUUUGUAGGGUGUAAUUAGCACUUAGUGUGUGAGUUAGCAUGCUAAACACUACACACAUGCAAGCGGAUUGUACGUACGAACACUAACGGGGCGCGAGCCAUGCGCCAGACGGAGACCGGGGCGGUCUGUCCCACCUCCGCACGUGGAUCGACAGGCACAAACGUUUUCACGUGUUGUCACAUGAUACACAGAUUACAGAAUAUGUUAAGCGAGCGUGAUUAGCUUGAAUAAAAUUCAAUCUGAACCCGAGCAUAGCGACGUUUUAGCGCUAAGCAACGGGCGAACUAGUGUUCACGUAAUUAUUUUUUAUACGUGAGGAGUGAAAUUUGAUAGAUUUGUAGUUUUGAUAAAGAAAAAUGAAACGUAAAAAAUAAAUGUGAACAGGUACGAUUUAAUACGCACACGUUAGCAUGGCUAAUCAUGGCGCGGCUAUUUGCAGCCUUACGUUUCUUACGAUUUAUGAACAUAUUACUCCUCUAAGGGUUCUUCACAUUUUGAUGGUUCCAGAACCCUUUAAGAGGCACAGUCCUCCAUUUUUUAUCAUUACAGAGAAGCUAAAUGCUAACUCCUGUCAGCUUGCAGAUUCUAAUAAAAAAAAAAUUAAGCAAUUAA